AGUGGCAAUGGCAAAGAGGUCACACCUGUUCCCAUACCGAACACAGUAGUUAAGCUCUUUAGCGUCGAUGGUAGUUGGAUGUAGGUCCUGCGAGAGUAGAACGUUGCU
rnacentral:rRNA from 1 species